GACGAACGCUGGCGGCGUGCCUAAUACAUGCACGUCGAACGGAUCGGCGGACGGGUGAGUAAUGCCUAUGAAUCUGCCUGUUCGUGGUGGAUAACGUUCGGUAACGGGCGCUAAUACCACAUACUAUCACAUGCGCCUAGGUCGGAUUAGCUUGUUGGUGGGGUAAAGGCCUACCAAGGCGACGAUCCGUAACUGGUCUGAGAGGAUGAUCAGUCACACUGGAACGGAGACACGGUCCAGACUCCUACGGGAGGCAGCAGUGGGGAAUAUUGGACAAUGGGCGAAAGCCUGAUCCAGCCAUGCCGCGUGUGUGAAGAAGGUCUUCGGAUUGUAAAGCACUUUAAGUUGGGAGGCGUUACCAACAGAAUAAGCACCGGCUAACUUCGUGCCAGCAGCCGCGGUAAUAC
rnacentral:rRNA from 1 species